CUACAGAUAAUGCUAUUUAUAUUUAAAAUUGUCUUUGAUUUUUAAGUGAAAGGGAACACAAAAAUCUUGAAGGAUGGAUUUCUGAUUUUUUUUGGUAUUCUCUUAAAUUUGGGUUAACAAAAAACAUGAGAUUGAUUCCUUCUAAUUUGAUUCAUCUUCUUCGACUAAAAUCAUGACAAAAGAAAGAAAAUAUCAUAGGUGGAUCACUGUUCAUUUUCUCUCUCGAGAACAAAAUUAUAGAUCUAGUUUUUAUUUUGCGUGAGUUUCGUUCUUUUCUGGUUGAUUGUUGCAGGAACUUAGAGAAAGAUAGGUGUGGAAGUGGGCAAAGGCAUCUCUCCUCUCCUAGCCGAAACAAGAAAAAAAUUUAGCAAAAAAAAGAAAAAAAAAAGUCUCCUAGGCGAAGACUUGGGUUUGUUUGUGAAUAAACCAAAACUUGUGGGUUGUUCUCUCCUUCUCUUCAACCUCCUCAGUCGCUGAUAUUCAACAGUGGGUGUGAAACAACAAUAGAGCGAGAUACAAUGGCGAUGAGCUUGAUGAACAGAGCAAUCUCAAGAACCGAAACCGUCGGUGUUUUCAGACUCUCUUCUUCAACCUCUCUCUCUCUCUCUCUCUCUUCCAUUUUUUUAAAGUUUCUCCCUUUCUUCUCUCUCUCUCUCUCUCUCUCACUACGACAACUCCAUUUGUGCUCCUCAAACGGACAAAUCAGCUUCUGCUCAUUCUAUGACUCCAGGGGAAACAAUCGCUGUAAGCUCUGUUAAUAUCAAAGGUGCCAUUGCCUUUGAAGUUGCAGGUUUUUGUGACUCCAUUGUCUCUACUUCCAAAUAUUGAUUCGGAAACUCAAGCCGCAGCAUCAGAAUGGAUCUCCAAAGCCUUUAGACUCUGAUCAAUGAAAAAGCUAGCUAUGAUGGAUCUGAAUCGCUCGCUCCGUCGACACCCCUAACUCUUCAUCCUCUCUUCCCGACGAUCUAUGUCCCUCUCUAUCGUCGAUUUGGGACUCAUAUGGUUGAAGACAAGACAAGCUUCGAAGAAGACCAGCUCGCCUCCAUUUCCACCAAAGAUAUCACCUGAGUUACUCGACA